rnacentral:lncRNA from 1 species
AUGCGCCUCCCCGCCCGGCCGCCGCCCUGCCCGCGGGUGCUCGCGGGGUGCUCGAGGGGUGCACGCGGGAUGCUCGAGGGGUGCUCGAGGGGUGCUCGCGGGGUGCACGCAGGGUGCUCGCGGGGUGCUCUCGGGGUGCUCUCGGGGUGCACGCGGGGUGCAAGCGGGUGCUCGCAGGGUGCUCGCGGGGUGCUCGAGGCGUGCACGCGGGAUGCUCGAGGGGUGCACGCGGGGUGCACGCAGGGUGCUCGCGGGGUGCUCGCGGGGUGCUCUCGGGGUGCUCGCGGGGUGCUCUCGGGGUGCUCGCGGGGUGCACGCGGGGUGCUCUCAGGGUGCUCUCGGGGUGCUCGCGGGGUGCACGCAGGGUGCUCGCGGGGUGCUCGAGGCGUGCACGCGGGAUGCUCGAGGGGUGCACGCGGGGUGCACGCAGGGUGCUCGCGGGGUGCUCGCGGGGUGCUCUCAGGGUGCUCGCGGGGUGCUCUCGGGGUGCUCGCGGGGUGCACGCGGGGUGCUCUCAGGGUGCUCGCGGGGUGCUCGCGGGGUGCACGCGGGGUGCUCGCGGGUGCUCGCGGCCCCGGCAGCUGGGGGCCCGGGCGGACGCCGACGGGGCCGGGGGCCGAGCGCGGGGCCGGUGCAGCCCCGGGGCGCGGUCCGACCCUCGGGCAGAGGGCGGCGACGGGCAGGGCAACUCUAUGCUUAUUUUACUGCGUGGAAGGACCGUUUCCUCGGUCCCACGCCGUCCGUGGCGGGGGGGGGGGGCGGCGGCCCCGCUCGGAAGCCGGGGGCGCGCUCCAGGGCCGGCGCCGUCCGCGUCCCGGGGGGAGGGCGCCCCGCAGAGCCGCGGCCGCAGCCCGGGGAGACCGCGCGCCGCGCGGAGCCGGGGGCGGGGCCGCGGGGGCGGGGGCGGGGCCUCGGGCGCCGGGGCGGGGCCGGGCCGGCCUGUGCGCGCCCCCAUUGGCUGCGGGCGGCGGACUGGCAGGCGCGCGUCACGGGCCGGGCCCGCCCCCUUGGCAAUGUCCUCAGCCCGCGGCUCCCCUAACUUAA